CAGCUGAUGAAACAUAUGAGCUUGAGUUCAUUGUGUUUGAUCAAAAGGCACAACAACUUAUUGGGAAACCAAUACAAAGAUUAAAAAGUAUGUACGACAAAUACGAAACUCCAGCUGAGAUAUCAGAUUUGAUUGGUCAGAGGUAUACUUUUGUUGUGAAAAUAUCAGCUAAAAAAAGCAUCAACAGUGACGAGCCAUCUUUCGAAGUUAUCUACGUUAAAGAGCAACUUGGAAGGCAAGCCAAUAUACCAGUAUUUCGAAAGACCAGUUCUCUCACUACAAAUAGUUCUUCCCAAGCUGUUCAGACAAGCCUACCAUCACUGAUCCCAAUGGAACCUAAAAAGAUCCAACGAAAAAGUCAGCAUGAGUACCACCACUCUACCGACAAUGAAAUGAUGCAAGUUCAAAAGCAUGAGAGCGAUAACGUCAAAGACAAAAAAAUAAAUUUGGGUACCAAACGGGAAAAAACUCCAAAUGCAAUGGAUAACGAAGACUUGAAAGAAAAUCAAGACUUCCUUGGAUCAUCGAAGAGACAGAGAAUAUAAGCUAUUUGUUAACAGGGACAAACGACAGUGUGAGGACAAUCUUUUGAACAGAAGUGCCUUCUAAUGGUGUUCUGUUAAAUAUAUAGUGCUUCCUUCUGAUGGUUCUAAUAAAUAGAACCAUCCUUUUGAAAUAUUUCAGACCUUUCUAUAUUGCAAGGCCGAAAUAUGUACUUUUGACUAGAUUCUGCAGACUAAUACAACUGUGAAACACAUAUGUAUAUUUUUAUGUUCCUAUGUCU